UGAAUAAAGAAAAGUAACGGUGUC
rnacentral:piRNA from 1 species